UUAAAUUGACCAGGUUGGCUGGAGAACAAUUGAACUAUUACUACAAAUAUAUGAUUUAUUAAAAAAAAUAUAUAAAUUAUAGAAUUUCAUGUGGAUCCACGUAAAAGAAAGGAAUUAUUACGGGAAAAGAGCAUACCAUGAAAGAAUUUUUUCAAUAUACUAAAAAAAAAGACGGAAUACAUAUGCAGGCCCCUGAACUAUUUUACUUUUUCCAUAUAGGUACUUCAAUUAAGUCAGGUACCUAUUGAAUCCUUUGCUCCUUCACAAAUGCUUUCAAUUGAGCCCAAUUUACUGACGUGACAAAAAAUGUAAAAUGCGUGUAAUACACACGUUGAUGAUGUGGCAAAGUGACGAAUUAAAUGACUACACGUGACGUUUUAAUUUAAAAUAAUUAUAAAAAUAAAUUUCUAAUAUAAUUAAAUCUAAAUUUUUGUUAAACAAAAUCAUUAAUACCCCUCCCCCAAAACAAACUCAACCUACCCGAUCCUCCCU
rnacentral:lncRNA from 1 species